rnacentral:tRNA from 1 species
UCCUUGGCGGUCCAGUGGUUAGGACUCUGUGCUCCCAAUGCAGGGGGCCUGGGUUCGAUUCCUGGUCAAGGAA